AAUAUGUCAAAGAUUCUGCUGCCGAAGGAGCAAAAGAUGCUGUCCAUGGAGCUCGUGAGUGAUUUUUAAAUUGUUUUUGAAACAACAAUUUUUUAUCAUAAUGUAUAGUAUUGUUAUUUCCACAUCGUGAGUCAUUUUUGUGAUAAUCCAGUUUCCAACUGAUAAGGAUGAUCAAAACAAUAAACUUUGAUCGAAUGAUUCCGGGUUUAAAAAGCGUUGAUUAUUAGUAAAAUUCAUUAAAUUUUGUUUUCUUUUUUCAAAUUAAAGUUUUUAUUUUCAAUUUCAGACGAAGGAAUGCGUAUGGUCGGUGAGAACGUUGCUCAUGGAGCAGGAAAGGUUGCAGAUGGAGCCAGUGAGUUAUUAAUUGCCUUUGAAAUACACGUAAAAGAUUUUCAGAAGCUGCUGGAAAUUAUGCAGUAGAUUCGGCAAACACUGCUGGAGAAGCUAUUGUUGAUGGAGCAAGUAAGAUAUUUCAUUGGAGUAAAAAAAGCAUAUCUAAUUUUUCAGAAACCGUCGGUCAAACAGCCUCUGAUGGAAUGAGAAUGAUUGGUGAAAAUGUUGCUCAUGGAGCAGGAGUUGUUGUUGAGGGAGCUAGUAAGUUUUCAAAAUGAUUUUCCUGGAGACCAUUAAUUCGUUUUCAGAAUCCGCUGGAGAACAGACUGUUGAAGGAGCAAGUGAGUACUAUCAACACUACAUACUGUAAUCAAAAUAAUCUAUAUUCUUCAGAGUCUGGAGCUCGCUGGGUCGGAGAAAAUGUUGCACAUGGAGCAGGAAAGGUAGCUGACGGAGCAAGUAAGUUUUUUACAACAUUCUUCAACGAGCGUUUUUUGAGUUAUUAAUUUUGAGUUAUUAAUUUUUAAUUAAAUUAAAUUAAAUUCAUUUGGUUAUUUUUUUUGUUAAAGAAUCCGCUGGACAAUCAAUUGCCGAUGGAGCUGUUGCCGCUAAAGAUGCAGCUGUCGAAGGAGCAAGUCAGUAAAAUUUUCAUUUAAUUUUAAGUUUGCACAUUAAGUUUUUUAGCCACAGCCGGUAACAAGACCGUGGAAGGAAUGAGAUUUGUUGGUGAAAAUGUAGCUCACGGAGCCGGAAAGGUUGCAGAUGGAGCAAG
rnacentral:sRNA from 1 species